rfam:Triticum aestivum genome assembly, contig: Triticum_aestivum_CS42_TGACv1_scaffold_129364_2BL
CAGAUACUCCCUCCGUCCCAAAAUUCUUGUCUUAGAUUUGUCUAAAUAUAGAUGUAUCAAGUCAUGCUUUAGUACUAGAUACAUCCGUGUUUAGACUAAUCUAAGACAAGAAUUUUGAGACGGAGGGAGUAUAAC